GUUGUAUGGUUAAGUGACUAAGCGUACACGGUGGAUGCCUGGGCAGUCAGAGGCGAUGAAGGACGUACUAACUUGCGAUAAGCGCAGAUAAGGCAGUAAGAGCCGUUUGAGUCUGCGAUUUCCGAAUGGGGAAACCCAACUGCAUAAGCAGUUACUGUUAACUGAAUACAUAGGUUAACAGAGCAAACCGGGGGAACUGAAACAUCUAAGUACCCCGAGGAGAAGAAAUCAACCGAGAUUCCGGUAGUAGCGGCGAGCGAACCUGGAUUAGCCCUUAAGCACUCGGUGAAGUAGGUGAACAAGCUGGAAAGCUUGGCGAUACAGGGUGAUAGCCCCGUAACCGACGCUUCAUCGAGCGUGAAAUCGAGUAGGGCGGGACACGUGAUAUCCUGUCUGAAUAUGGGGGGACCAUCCUCCAAGGCUAAAUACUCCUGACUGACCGAUAGUGAACCAGUACCGUGAGGGAAAGGCGAAAAGAACCCCUGUGAGGGGAGUGAAAUAGAACCUGAAACCGUGUACGUACAAGCAGUAGGAGCACCUUCGUGGUGUGACUGCGUACCUUUUGUAUAAUGGGUCAGCGACUUAUAUUCAGUGGCAAGGUUAACCGUAUAGGGGAGCCGUAGCGAAAGCGAGUCUUAACUGGGCGCUCAGUCUCUGGAUAUAGACCCGAAACCGGGUGAUCUAGCCAUGGGCAGGUUGAAGGUUGAGUAACAUCAACUGGAGGACCGAACCGACUAAUGUUGAAAAAUUAGCGGAUGACUUGUGGCUAGGGGUGAAAGGCCAAUCAAACUCGGAGAUAGCUGGUUCUCCCCGAAAGCUAUUUAGGUAGCGCCUCGGACGAAUACUACUGGGGGUAGAGCACUGUUAAGGCUAGGGGGUCAUCCCGACUUACCAACCCUUUGCAAACUCCGAAUACCAGUAAGUACUAUCCGGGAGACACACGGCGGGUGCUAACGUCCGUCGUGGAGAGGGAAACAACCCAGACCGCCAGCUAAGGUCCCAAAGUAUUGCUAAGUGGGAAACGAUGUGGGAAGGCUCAGACAGCUAGGAUGUUGGCUUAGAAGCAGCCAUCAUUUAAAGAAAGCGUAAUAGCUCACUAGUCGAGUCGGCCUGCGCGGAAGAUGUAACGGGGCUAAGCAAUACACCGAAGCUGCGGCAAUAUCUUUUAGAUAUUGGGUAGGGGAGCGUUCUGUAAGCCGUUGAAGGUGAAUCGUAAGGUUUGCUGGAGGUAUCAGAAGUGCGAAUGCUGACAUGAGUAACGACAAAGGGGGUGAAAAACCUCCUCGCCGGAAGACCAAGGGUUCCUGUCCAACGUUAAUCGGGGCAGGGUGAGUCGACCCCUAAGGUGAGGCCGAAAGGCGUAAUCGAUGGGAAACGGGUUAAUAUUCCCGUACUUCUGACUAUUGCGAUGGGGGGACGGAGAAGGCUAGGUGGGCCAGGCGACGGUUGUCCUGGUUCAAGUGCGUAGGCUUGAGAGUUAGGUAAAUCCGGCUCUCUCUAAGGCUGAGACACGACGUCGAGCUGCUACGGCAGUGAAGUCAUUGAUGCCAUGCUUCCAGGAAAAGCCUCUAAGCUUCAGAUAGUCAGGAAUCGUACCCCAAACCGACACAGGUGGUCGGGUAGAGAAUACCAAGGCGCUUGAGAGAACUCGGGUGAAGGAACUAGGCAAAAUGGUACCGUAACUUCGGGAGAAGGUACGCUCUUGAUGGUGAAGUCCCUCGCGGAUGGAGCUGACGAGAGUCGCAGAUACCAGGUGGCUGCAACUGUUUAUUAAAAACACAGCACUGUGCAAAAUCGCAAGAUGACGUAUACGGUGUGACGCCUGCCCGGUGCCGGAAGGUUAAUUGAUGGGGUUAGCGCAAGCGAAGCUCUUGAUCGAAGCCCCGGUAAACGGCGGCCGUAACUAUAACGGUCCUAAGGUAGCGAAAUUCCUUGUCGGGUAAGUUCCGACCUGCACGAAUGGCGUAAUGAUGGCCACGCUGUCUCCACCCGAGACUCAGUGAAAUUGAAA
rnacentral:rRNA from 1 species